rnacentral:sRNA from 1 species
ACCGGUCUUCGGUCGAUGGUAUACAAGUAGCUGCGCUCCCCUGCUAGAAUCUCCAAAAAGAGGGUAAGUGUAGAAGAAAGAUAAAACAGUUAUAGGUCUUAGCAGAGAAAUUAGGC